UUCAAUCUCUGACCCAGAAACUUACACAUGCCAUGGGGCACAGCCAAAAAAGAAAGAAAAAAGGCUAAAAAUUAUUUGAGUUAAGAGCAACAGGUGGGAUGGAUUUCCCGUCGUGGCUCAGUGGUUAACGAAUCCAACUAAGAACCAUGAGGUUGCGGGUUCGAUCUCUGGCCUUGCUCAGUGAGUUAAAGAUCCAGCUUUGCCGUGAGCUGUGGUGUAGGUCGCAGAUAAGGCUCGGAUCCCGUGUUGCUGUGGCUGUGGUGUAGGCCAGCUAGGGGUCAAAUCGGAGCUGUAGCCACUGGCCCACACCACGGCAAUGCCAGAUCCAAGAUGUGUCUACAACCUACACCACAGCUCACGGCAAUGCCAGAUCCUUAGCCCACUGAAUGAGGCCAGGAAUUUGAACCUUUGGACUCAUGGAUACUAGUCAGGUUCGUUUCCCCUGAGCCACAAUGGGAACUCCAACAAUAACAUCUUGAUCAACCUGUUAAUGCUUAGGAAAGGGUAUCAUUAAAUAGAUCAUCUUGUACGUUACCAACCAAAUCUAGAUAAUCAGCUGAAAGUAGCUAUUUAUUGAAAAGGUUAAGUCUGGUCUGUACCUAACAUUGAUAACUGAUUUAUGUCCAUUCAUUUUAUAGCCAUUGAGUGUUUUAUGUUUCUGCAAUUAGAAAUAGAAAAUAGGAAGUCAUGGCUAUUAUUCUUAAAGAAUUUAGAGAAGAUUCCAAGAGGUGGUAAUAGAUUUAUAAAUUGUAGUGAUCCUCAAACCAAAUCUUCCAGAAAAACACCAUUGGAAGUUUAAAAGGUGUUCUGUCCUCCUAAUAAAAUACUCAGCUUAUAAUUGGAAUAUAUGAAUAAUGUGCAUAAUUUGGAUUACUCCUAGAGAGAAGAGUUUUUAAAGUGUAUAUAUUAUGAAUUUUUUAAACUAAAUUACAACUGUAGUGUCCACUGGAUAAGAUAAAAGUAACUUGACUUUUAAGAAUUUCUACUGUACAGUUCAAAAUUUUAAAUAUAAAGAUGGAGUGACUGACUCUGAAAGAACAAAUGUGAAGGUAGGUUUCCUUAUAUUUUAUUUUUCCCUUACUGAAAACUAAGCCUUGAGUGAGAAAUCCCUAGUCAAGGUUGAAAUAAUGAGCAGUUCUUUGAAACAUUUGUUAUAUCCCUGAAGAAAAACAGGUGUUGCUUUGUUUAAAUGGACUAGAUUUACUAAAAAUAACUUUUUUCUCCAUUCCCUGUAACUCAUAAGGCCCCUUAAUAUAAAGGUCAAGCUGUUUCAUGCUUUGAUGUCUUAACAAAACUGGUUAAUCUAGUGUCUAAUAAUACAUUUUUGUCAGCGGUAUUACAAGAUAUUGAUAGGUUUGAUAGGGAGAGCUGAGUUGAUUAAGAUAGUUUCUUUAAAAAAACAAACAAGCCCUCAGAAUUCCAUGUCUCUUGAAAAUACAUGGUUUAUGGGAGUUCCCAUUGUGUGUGGCUCAGUGGGUUAAGAACCUGACAUAGUGUUCAUGAGAAUGUGGGUUCAAUCCCUGACCUCACUCGGUGUGUUAAGGAUUUGGCAUUACCACAAGCUAUGGUGUUGGUUGCAGGUGUGCCUCAAAUCCGGUGUUGCUGUGGCUGUGAUGUAGGCCGGCAGCUGCAGCUUCGAUUUGACCCCUAGCCUGGAAACUUCCAUACCCCUUAGGGGUGGCCAUAAAAGCUAAAAAUAAAAAUACAUGGCUUAGGAAUUCCCUGGUGGCCUAGAGGUUAAGGAUCUGGCAUUGUUACUGCUGUGGCAUGGGUUUGAUCUCUGGCCCAGGAACAUCUGCAUGCUGUGGGCACAGCAAAAAAACAAACAAACAAAAAAAAACAUGGUUUAAUCCAAAUGACUUUCCAACCUUUUCAGCUCUCAGUCUGUUUUUCAACCAUGAACAUUUUCUUUUUUAAAAAAGUUCGAAGACCUAUAAUUGUUAGAACUUUUAGUCAGUAAGAGAACUGAGCUUAGCACGUUGAACUAGUUACAGUUUCAGUCAGCAAACUUGACAGUAGACCUAAUAGUGAAUGUUUCCAAUGGCUGUCAUUAUCUUAAACUUACUUAUUUAUUAAUCCUGUAAAGUAAAUAUAAAUACGGAAACACACAGACAUUUCGAUCCAAAGCAUUCCUAACUAGAAAUGGCCAAUCUGGAAUUGAACCCAGGCUGGUCUGAUACCAGAGCUCAUAUUUUAACUACCGCUCUGUAAGUGCCUUCUGGGUUUUGCUUGCUAUAUGCAGUCUUAGCUGGUAAAUGUCAUUAGGCUUCUUUGAAAUACUGAAUAACUGGAAUAUCUGGGAUAUUGCUAACUAGCUGGUUAGACUGUUAGUUUUCCCAGCUUGGAAUUAUAGGUGGGGCCAAAGACUAGUUUCACUGAAAUAACAGCAUAAGAAUUAUUUUAUGUUGUGAUAGUAAGAUUAACGAUAGCUUCUGAAUAGCGGAACCUUCUUAAAACUAUUUACAGUUUUUCAGACUACUUUUUUUUUUGUACCCAUGGCUUAUGUCACAAGUUUACGAAAUAUCUUGUGAUUUGAGAUUUACUUUUUACCAGCGUUAAUACAUUUCCUAGUUGGAGUGUUUCAGGAUUUGCUUUAAAUUACUUUGAAUAAAAUGGAGCCAGACUCUAGUAUUUUUAUCUGCAACCAUUAUGAUUUUUCAUGGAAUUCAAUUUUAUCGUCUUAACUUUCUUUCCAGAUUGGAGUUCUUACUCUUUGAAGGUAAAAGCCACUUUAUUAUUAUAAACACU
rnacentral:lncRNA from 1 species